rnacentral:rRNA from 1 species
AGGACGAACGCUGGCGGCGUGCCUAACACAUGCAAGUCGAACGCGCUCCAUUCGGUAGCAAUACUGAUGAAGAGUGAGUGGCGAACGGGUGAGUAACACAUGAGCAACCUGCCCCGAAGACUGGGACAACACCGGGAAACCGGUGCUAAUACCGGAUAUCCCUAUCGGACCGCAUGAUCUGAUAAGGAAAUGGAUUCCGCUUCGGGAGGGGCUCGUGGCCUAUCAGCUAGUUGGUGAGGUAACGGCUCACCAAGGCAUCGACGGGUAGCUGGUCUGAGAGGACGAUCAGCCACACUGGGACUGAGACACGGCCCAGACUCCUACGGGAGGCAGCAGUGGGGAAUCUUGCGCAAUGGGCGAAAGCCUGACGCAGCAACGCCGCGUGGAGGACGAAGGCUUUCUGAGUUGUAAACUCCUUUCAGCAGGGACGAUAGUGACGGUACCUGCAGAAGAAGCACGGCAACUACGUGCCAG